rnacentral:tRNA from 2 species
AGGACUGUAGUUAAGUAUAACAUUUGAUUUGCAUUCAAAAAGUAUUGAUUAAUCAAUCUGUCUUA